rnacentral:rRNA from 1 species
AGAGUUUGAUCCUGGCUCAGGAUGAACGCUGGCGGCGUGCCUAAUACAUGCAAGUCGAACGAGAACCAUCUUUCGAGAUGGGGGCAGUGGCGGACGGGUGAGUAACACGUAGAUGACCUGCCCUGAAGCGGGGGACAACGGGGGGAAACUCUCGCUAAUACCCUAUAAGCUCACGGAAAUUAGAUAUCGGUGAGAAAAGAUUCAUCGCUUCAGGAGGGGUCUGCGGCCCAUCAGGUAGUUGGCGGGGUAAAGGCCCACCAAGCCGUCGACGGGUAGGGGGCCUGAGAGGGUGGUCCCCCACAUGGGCACUGAGACACGGGCCCAACUCCUACGGGAGGCAGCAGUAAGGGAUAUUGCACAAUGGACGCAAGUCUGAUGCAGCAACGCCGCGUGCCCGAUGAAGGCCUUCGGGUCGUAAAGGGCUUUUCUGGCUGAAGAUGAUGACUGUAAGCCAGGAAUAAGUGUCGGCUAACUACGUGCCAGCAGCCGCGGUAAAACGUAGGACGCGAGCGUUAUCCGGAGUUACUGGGCGUAAAGCGCGGGCAGGCGGCCUGACAAGUCUGAUGUGAAAUCACCCGGCUCAACCGGGCGAGGCCAUUGGAAACUGACAGGCUGGAGGGCAGUAGAGGUAGGCGGAAUUCCGGGUGGAGUGGUGAAAUGCGUAGAGAUCCGGAGGAACACCAGAGGCGAAGGCGGCCUACUGGGCUGCACCUGACGCUGAGCCGCGAAAGCCAGGGGAGCGAACGGGAUUAGAAACCCCGGUAGUCCUGGCCGUAAACGAUGUGUGCUGGAUGGUGGGGGGGUUACACCCUCGCUGUCGAAGCCAACGCGAUAAGCACAUCGNCU